AAUACAGGGUGCCUGAUAAAACUUGAAUUUCAGAUAAAAGUUAAUUAUUUUUUUGUAUAAGUAUGAUCCAUACAGUAUUUGGGAUACACUUAUGCUAAAACAGUACAUAUUCAUUGUUUAUCUGAAAUUCAAAUUUAACUAGGCAUCCUAUAUUUU
rnacentral:miRNA from 1 species